rnacentral:ncRNA from 1 species
UAAAAGUUUAAUUUUAGCUUAUAAAUUUAUUGAAUUUUUUAUUUACAUGUAAAUUAAAGUGGGUUUAUAAAAUUUUUUUAAAUAAGUAAUUUUAUUAUUUUAUUCGCAGUAUAAAGUUUUAAUAAUUUAAGAAAUUAUGAAUUAUGAAAAAAUUAAUAAUAUUGACAAAAUUUGUGCCAGCAGUUGCGGUUAUACAAAAAAUGUAAAUAAAUUUUAUUGAUUGAUAAUUAGAAGAAUUUAUUUUAAUUAAAAUUAAAUUUAUAAAGUGAAAUUUAAAAUUUAAAAUAUUUAUUAAUAUAUUGUUUGAUUUUAUAAAAUUUAAAUUAUAAACUAGGAUUAGAUACCCUAUUAUUUUGAAUGUAAAUUAAUAAUCAUUAAAUUAGUAUUAGUUAUGAUCUUGAAAUUUAAAGAUUUUGGCGGUAUUUUAGUCUAUUCAGAGGAACCUGUUCUAUAAUUGAUAGUCCACGAUAAUCUUUACUUAAUUUAUUAAUUUGUAUAUCGUCGUUAUUAAGUAUUUUAAAAGAAUUUUAAUAUUUAAUUUUUUAUAUUAAAAAAUAAAUCAGAUCAAGGUGCAGUUUAUAGUUAAGAAGAAAUGGGUUACAAUAAAUUUAUUUAAACGAAUUAAAAUAUAAAAAUUUUUUAAGAAGGAGGAUUUGAUAGUAAUAAAAUUUUGAUUAAUUUUAUGAUUUUAGCUCUAAAAUGUGUACAUAUCGCCCGUCGCUCUUAUUAUAAAAUAAGAUAAGUCGUAACAUAGUAGAUGUACUGGAAAGUGUAUCUAGAAUGA